rnacentral:rRNA from 1 species
AAAAACAUAACCUUUAGCCAAACAAAUAUUAAAGGCAACGCCUGCCCAGUGAACAAUUAAACGGCCGCGGUACCCUAACCGUGCAAAGGUAGCAUAAUCAUUUGUCUACUAAUUAUAGACCUGUAUGAAAGGCAAAAUGAGGGUCCAACUGUCUCUUAUAAUAAAUCAAUUAAACUGAUCUUCUAGUAAAAAAGCUAGAAUAAUACCAUAAGACCAGAAGACCCUGUGAAGCUUAAACUAAACUACUAAAACACAUAGUAAUUACUUUCGGUUGGGGCGACCUUGGAAAAAAACAGAACUUCCAAGACCCAGUACAACUGACAAUUGAACCAAGUUACUCCAGGGAUAACAGCGCAAUCUUCUUCAAGAGCCCAUAUCAAAAAGAAGGUUUACGACCUCGAUGUUGGAUCAGGACAUCCUAAUGGUGCAGCCGCUAUUAAGGGUUCGUUUGUUCAACGAUUAACAGUCCUACGUGAUCUGA